rnacentral:tRNA from 2 species
CGGAGUGUAGCGCAGCCUGGUAGCGCACCUGCUUCGGGAGCAGGGGGUCGCAGGUUCGAAUCCUGCCUCUCCGACCA